rnacentral:rRNA from 1 species
AAUCAAUGAAACUGAUCUCCUCGUGAAAAAGCGAGGAUGCCCAUAUAAGACGAGAAGACCCCAUGGAGCUUAAAACUUGUACCACUGCCUCUACCUACACCAUCCAACUUAAGCAAGUGUGGCCGCAAGUCUUUCGGUUGGGGCGACUACGGAGAAAAAUCUAACCUCCAUGAUGAAAGGAAUAAUCCUAAUCAAAGAGCAACCGCUCGAAGAAUCAAUAAACUGACACACUGACCCAAACACUUUUGAUCAACGAACCAAGUUACCCUGGGGAUAACAGCGCAAUCCAUUUCAAGAGACCCCAUCAACAAAUGGGCUUACGACCU